rnacentral:rRNA from 1 species
UCCGUAGGUGAACCUGCGGAAGGAUCAUUAUUGAAUGAAUUUAGUAGUUGGUUGUCGCUGGCCCCAAACGGGCAUGUGCACGCCUUCUCCUUCAUCCACACACACCUGUGCACUUGUGAGACGGAGGGAUUAAAUUUCCUCCGUCUACUAAUCACACAAACUCAUUUUACUUGAACUGAAUGUAAUUGAUGUAACACAUCAUUUGAACUAAGUUUCAACAACGGAUCUCUUGGCUCUCGCAUCGAUGAAGAACGCAGCGAAAUGCGAUAAGUAAUGUGAAUUGCAGAAUUCAGUGAAUCAUCGAAUCUUUGAACGCAUCUUGCGCUCCUUGGUAUUCCUUGGAGCAUGCCUGUUUGAGUAUCAUGAGUAAAUCUCAAAGUCGAUUCCUUUUGUUAAUUCAAUUGGUUUUUGCUUUGGACUUGGAGGUCUUGCAGAUUUCACAGUCUGCUCCUCUUAAAUGCAUUAGCUGGAUCUCAGUAUUAUGCUUUGGUUCCACUCGGCGUGAUAAGUAUCACUCGCUGAGGACACUGUUAAAAAGGUGGCCAGGAAAAUACCGAUCGAACCGCUUCUAACGGGGGUCUAUUAAGGGUUAGGACCAAUUACCCCUUAAGGUUUGGAUCUCAAAUCAGGGUAGGGACUACCCGGCUGGAACUUAAGGCAUAUCAAUAAGGCGG